rnacentral:rRNA from 1 species
GACGAACGCUGGCGGCGUGCUUAACACAUGCAAGUCGAACGGAAAGGCCCUGCUUUUGUGGGGUGCUCGAGUGGCGAACGGGUGAGUAACACGUGAGUAACCUGCCCUUGACUUUGGGAUAACUUCAGGAAACUGGGGCUAAUACCGGAUAGGAGCUCCUGCUGCAUGGUGGGGGUUGGAAAGUUUCGGCGGUUGGGGAUGGACUCGCGGCUUAUCAGCUUGUUGGUGGGGUAGUGGCUUACCAAGGCUUUGACGGGUAGCCGGCCUGAGAGGGUGACCGGCCACAAUGGGACUGAGAUACGGCCCAGACGCCUACGGGAGGCAGCAGGGGGGAAUAUUGCACAAUGGGCGGAAGCCUGAUGCAGCAACGCCGCGUGCGAGAUGACGGCCUUCGGGUUGUAAACCGCUUUCGCCUGUGACGAAGCGUGAGUGACGGUAAUGGGUAAAGAAGCACCGGCUAACUACGUG